rnacentral:misc_RNA from 1 species
GUGAAUCAUCGAAUCUUUGAACGCACCUUGCACCUCUUGGUAUUCCGAGAGGUACACCUGUUUGAGUGUUGUGAAUUCCUCCAUUCAAUAUUUGUAUUGUUUGGGACUUGGGGAUUUUGUAGGACAAAAAAGUUCUACUUCCCUUAAAUAAAUUAGUAAAGAGUGUUAAUACUCUUUUGAAGUGUUGAUAAAAAAAACUAUCUACACUUUAAAUUUGUAUGCUUUACUUAUAAAAAAAAAAACACUAUAUUUAUGAUCUUGACCUCAAAUCAGGUGGGACUACCCGCUGAACUUAAGCAU